rnacentral:misc_RNA from 1 species
UCCCGGUUAACCCGGGCAGUCUCGCCAGAGUUCCCAGCAUUACCUGUUGGCAACUGACGAUAAGGGUUGCGCUCGUUGCGGGACUUAACCCAACACCUCACGGCACGAGCUGACGACAGCCAUGCAGCACCUGUACAGAAGUCCUUGCGGACUAGCCUAUCUCUAGACUAUUCCUCUGUAUGUCAAGCCUGGGUAAGGUUCUUCGCGUUGCAUCGAAUUAAACCACAUGCUCCACUGCUUGUGCGGGUCCCCGUCAAUUCUUUUGAGUUUCACCCUUGCGGGCGUACUCCCCAGGCGGUGUACUUAUCGCGUUAGCUUCGACACACUCGGGGUUGAGACCGAAUACAUCAAGUACACAUCGUUUACGGCAAGGACUAC